GUUAACACCUGACAACAUUACCCCCUGUCACCCUUUGCCCCUGCUUUUCGAGUGUUCACUUCAACCGUAUCUUCUCAUUUUGUCUUCGUGGAGGAAAGAAGAACCUUGGGUGCCUUAGAUUUGUAUGUGUGCCUUGAAAUAGAUGAUUAGAAGAUUCUGUGGAUCUGUUCUUGUAACCUUGAUACACCACACUCUGGUAGAUUGUUGGAACUGAUCAUUCAACUUUUAACUUUGUAGAAGCUGCUAUACUGCAUUUUCCAGACACAAAGUGCUGUUGCCUAUAUAUGCACACAUUCCCCAGAUUUUAUCCUGCCGUAGAUUUUGGCGACCAGGUUGCCAUGGCCUGCUCAUCCUAGCUCAUGGAAUACCAAGGCCUCUAAUACUAAAAUACGAUGUCGCAUUAGAAGUAGUUCAGUUCAGAUUUAUUACC